AAAUAUCGGGGAAACGAUACUUCCGGUUAAUUCAACGUUCCUCUUUAGCUUGUUCCAUUCUCAUCCAUUUCGCUUGUAGCUGGUCACCGAGUAGGAACUCUGAAGAAUUUUCUACGUUUCUACGUUCCAAGUUCGUAUCCAUUGCAACCGCAUAUAAGCUGAACGUUUCCUUCUUCGCACCUUAUAAUGGCGAUUAAUAAAGCUUCAGCUUCAUGGCUAGCAUCCAUGCUGGAUAGCGUUCACUGCAAAAAUUUGUUCUUAUCCACGUUAAAAUUGUAGUAAAUGUCGUCGAUAAUAAAUUUCUCGACAGAAAUGAGUCUCCUAAAGAUGGCAAGUUCGCAAACUGCGACUGCGUGGAAAACGUUAGCAAAUAACUUUGAAAAUGAUUGACCAGUUAAUUGCGUUACGUCGAAUCGAUUAUUACUAUGCGAAGGACGAUCCGCCAUCUACAACAAUCUGUAAGAACUAUAACGAUGUUUGUAUCGAAGAAAAACUUCCAAGUAUAAUAAACUAGAAAUGUUUACGCGCAGUACAAAUUGAAGUCGAAUCGCUGAUAACGUUCCUACAAAAUUUUUAAUUCGGUAACGAUUCAAAGAAAAACCAGACAAAAGUUUCAACGCAAAACCAUUUUCAACAAAAGAAUACAUAUCUUAAAGCAGUCGUCUGGACCUUACGAGGAACAGCCCAUGAUCUAGAAAAAGCUCUACGUGGAUUGUAUUCACAAAAAGUGUGUGAUAUCAAUCAACUUUGGAUGCAAAACUGAAGUAAUGAUUAUUAUAAAAAUAUAAUAUAUACUUUAUUGUAUGUGCAGAAAUUCUAAUAAAAAUAAAAUAUACAAAUCUAAAAA